AUCAACUUUCGAUGGUAGGAUAGAGGCCUACCAUGGUGGUAACGGGUAACGGGGUGUUAGGGCACGACACCGGAGAGGGAGCCUGAGAAACGGCUACCACAUCCAAGGAUGGCAGCAGGCGCGCAAAUUACCCAAUCCCGACACGGGGAGGUAGUGACAAUAAAUAACAAUACGGGGUUCUUUAGGAUCUCGUAAUUGGAAUGAGUACAAUUUAAAUCUCUUAACGAGGAACAAUUGGAGGGCAAGUCUGGUGCCAGCAGCCGCGGUAAUUCCAGCUCCAAUAGCGUAUAUUAAAGUUGUUGCAGUUAAAAAGCUCGUAGUUGAAUUUUGGGUCUGGCCGGGCGGUCCGCCCUCUGGGUGAGCACUGUUCCGACGCCGGGCCUAUCCUUCUGGUGAGUCGGCAUGUCCUUUAUUGGGUGUGCCGGGGAACCAGGACCAUUACCUUGAAAAAAUUAGAGUGUUCAAAGCAGGCGUAUGCUCGGAUACAUUAGCAUGGAAUAAUGGAAUAGGACAAUGGUUCUAUUUGUUGGUUUCUAGGAUCGUUGUAAUGAUUAAUAGGGAUAGUUGGGGGCAUUAGUAUUCAAUUGUCAGAGGUGAAAUUCUUGGAUUUAUUGAAGACUAACUACUGCGAAAGCAUUUGCCAAGGAUGUUUUCAUUAAUCAAGAACGAAAGUUAGGGGAUCGAAGACGAUCAGAUACCGUCGUAGUCUUAACCAUAAACUAUGCCGACUAGGAAUCGGGCGAUGUUGACAAAAUGACGCGCUCGGCACCUCAUGGGAAACCAAAGUGUUUGGGUUC
rnacentral:rRNA from 1 species